AACGAACGCUGGCGGCAGGCUUAACACAUGCAAGUCGAACGCACCUUUCGGGGUUAGUGGCAGACGGGUGCGUAACGCGUGGGAAUCUACCCUUCUCUACGGGAUAGCUCCGGGAAACUGGAAUUAAUACCGUAUACGUCCUGAGGGAGAAAGAUUUAUCGGGGAAGGAUGAGCCCGCGUUGGAUUAGCUAGUUGGUGGGGUAAAGGCCUACCAAGGCGACGAUCCAUAGCUGGUCUAAGAGGAUGAUCAGCCACAUUGGGACUGAGACACGGCCCAAACUCCUACGGGAGGCAGCAGUGGGGAAUAUUGGACAAUGGGCGCAAGCCUGAUCCAGCCAUGACGCGUGAGUGAUGAAGGCCGUAGGGUUGUAAAGCUCUUUAAGUGGGGACGAUAAUGACGGUACCCACAGAAGAAGCCCCGGCUAACUUCGUG
rnacentral:rRNA from 1 species